rnacentral:rRNA from 1 species
UACAGAGGGGGCAAGCGUUGUUCGGAAUUACUGGGCGUAAAGGGCGCGUAGGCGGCCUGUUAAGUCGAACGUGAAAUCCCCGGGCUCAACCCGGGAACUGCGUCCGAAACUGGCAGGCUCGAAUUCGGGAGAGGGAUGCGGAAUUCCUGGUGUAGCGGUGAAAUGCGCAGAUAUCAGGAGGAACACCGAUGGCGAAGGCAGGUCUCUGGGCAUUAACUGACGCUGAGGAGCGAAAGCAUGGGGAGCGAACAGG